GACGAACGCUGGCGGCGUGCCUAAUACAUGCAAGUCGAACGCAGUGGGGACGGGUGAGUAACAAGUGGGUAACCUCCCAUCAGAGGGGAUAACACUUGGAAACAGGUGCUAAACCGAUACUGGUGGAUGGACUCGCGGUGCAUUAGCUAGUUGGUGGGGUAAAGGCUCACCAAGGCCACGAUGCCUAGCCGGCCUGAGAGGGUGAUCGGCCACACUGGAACUGAGACACGGCCCAGACUCCUACGGGAGGCAGCAGUAGGGAAUAUUGGGCAAUGGACGAAAGUCUGAUCGAGCCACGCCGCGUGAGUGAAGAAGGUCUUCGGAUUGUAAAACUCUUUCGUUAGAGAAGCGGUACCUACCCAGAAAGCCACGGCUAACUACGUGCCAGCAGCCGCGGUAAUUC
rnacentral:rRNA from 1 species